rnacentral:rRNA from 1 species
AGUGAACGUUGGCGGCGUGGAUUAGGCAUGCAAGUCGAGCGAGAACCGUAGCAAUACGGGGACAGCGGCGAAAGGGACAGUAAUGUGUAGGUACCUACCCCGAGGUCUGGGAUAGCUGCGGGAAACUGCAGGUAAUACCGGAUAAUGUCUUCGGACCAAAGGUGUGAUUCCACCUUGGGAGGGGCCUGCAUCCUAUUAGCUAGUUGGCGGGGUAAUGGCCCACCAAGGCAACGAUGGGUAGCGGGUGUGAGAGCACGACCCGCGUCAUUGGGACUGAGACACUGCCCAGACACCUACGGGUGGCUGCAGUCGAGGAUCUUCGGCAAUGGGCGAAAGCCUGACCGAGCGACGCCGCGUGCGGGAAGAAGGCCUUCGGGUUGUAAACCGCUGUCGUAGAGGAGGAAAUGCAGGGGGGUUCUCCCUUCUGUUUGACCUAUUCUAGGAGGAAGUACGGGCUAAGUUCGUGCCAGCCGCCGCAGUAA